AUGAACCAAAAUGAGAGAAACUCAGUUAUUCUAACUUGUGGGCACAGAUACAACGUGAGCGCUAGGAAUGAAGCCAUGUUGAUUAUAUUUAUUUGCAGUUUUUGUCAGUUUCUCUUCGUGCGAGGUGGAGACAUUGAUGCCACGACAUUGCUGACAAAUCCGCCACCAUUGAAUGAAGCCAAAUCUGACUUGGUACUCUCUAUUGAAGGGGAGGAAAAAGAUGAGCUGCUGGAAGACAAGAUAUGGACUGGAAAGAAAGCCUUUGCCUUGACACGAAAUAAAAUCCGAAGCACUGUAGAACCAGAUCAUCCUGAGCAAAUUUCGCCCGUAAGGAAUGGCGGAGAUAACUUCAAAAAUUUGGACCAUGGCGAAACUUUCAAACAAAAAGUUGCCAGAGCACUUAAACAGAAGCUCAAACGCGGUCCUUCAAGAAGUUUUUCGUCCUCGAGUAGCAGUUCCAAUCGGACUGACAAAACAGGCAAGGCGUCACGUACGCCAAAAAGGGUGAAAAAGGCUCUAGCUCCAUUGACGGCAAUCACUGCUCCUACGGCUAUCCAAUAUAUGGGCCAAAUGUACAGGAGAGCCAAAAGCAUGGCCAAGGGGCAUAGUCGUACACAGCGGACAAACGCGGUGACGCGGUCAAAGCCAAUCCCAGAGCAGGAGGGCUCGCGCAGUUGCCAAUCUGAAAGUUGGGAAAGGUUCUUGGACGCCUCCGACAUUAACACAGACGACGAGGGUGAGCGGUUAAAAGAUAUACAGAGAUGGCUCAGCACACUGUGUGAAAAAGAAAUCAACCAAGAUUACAUAAAGGCAAUCCCAGUUGACAACUUGCCUGAAAUGUUCCAGCCAAAGGCACCAGAGCUUCCACCACCUUCUCGUCAAUCCUCUCAACAAUGGCAACAUCCACAUCCACCAUCACCGACGUGGACACUGCUGUCCCCCGAGCGCCCCAGACUCGUCCAACCCGACCCCCCUUUUCAGCGGCAAUGGUCAUCUCCACCACGGCCACCACCGGAUGAACCGACUCUAUCACCCCCGAACACUUCAGAUUUACCUCCCUUGCCGCGGACCCUCUCGCGAAACCGGAUUGAGAAGAUCAAGAAGUGGCUGUUGGACAUAUGCCCGGACGGAGAUUUCACCGACAAGUUCAUUUCUACGAUCCCUCGAAGACUCCUACCAAAGAGAUUGCAAGAUAAGUACACCACUCCUCGGCGAUCCAAAAAUCUAAAAAGCCUCAAUCACUACCCUCGCAGGUUAAUACGAGUGGAAAUACGCCUCAGUCAUACGAUAGUCAUGAUUCCAGGAAACUAAAGUCACAAGGCAGCAAGGAUUCCAAAGCAUCAGAAGAUGGUUCGUUAAAAGCAUUACAGUCGCAUAAUAGCGAGGGUUCAAAUACAACAUAUGACUAUAAGGAUCAGAAUUUUUAAAGUUUUCCUGUAAGGCAUGCAUACUUCCGCUUUUUUCUUCUUUUUGUCGUCUACCGAUUUUGCCCUCAGUAAAUGGGAGUGGAAUCAAGUCCAUGUAGGGACGAACUGUUUCAAAGGUUCCUGCUGUAAUAUAUCUGAAUUACUUGUGGCUGUUGUCAAGUUUAUUUUCAGUUGUAAAGCAGUAUUUAAAGUAACCUGAUACUAAAACCUCUUGUACUGUUUAUGAUAAUUUAUUAAGAGUUGGCAAAACUGUGUCGUUUUCAAUGCAAUUUGAAUUAUUUGUAUACCACACUCAUUCAGGCGUGAAUGUUUUUCCUUCUUUGAAAAAUAUUUGAGGAGGAGUCAUCCUAAAAGGGAGCUUGGAUAAAAUUACUUUUUUUCUUCUUUUUUUAUUUCAAUUGUGGAAGGUGUCGGGAAAAAGAGUCUUUUUACCUGCGAAAAUCUUAAAAUUCACGUAUUGCAUCCACUUUUUAGUGCAGUAUUGCACAAACAACUUCACAAGAAAAGCUUCCAAAAAUAUUCAACUGAACUUAAGUUAUGAUUAUUUAAAGCUUACGAUUGAAAAAAUGUACUAUUGAGGUAAGAGUUAUUAAUAGCUUCGGUGGAAAAAUCGCCUUCAUUUACGGAGAAUACCAUGUGAGCACCUCAGGGCGCGUUUAAUUGCUUGGUGCCUCUAUUAGGCUCCUGCAUUUUGUCGAAUUGACCAAAAGCUACCAUGCAUUUACAUUACUCGUUAUUUCAAAGCUAGCU
rnacentral:lncRNA from 1 species